AGAGUUUGAUCCUGGCUCAGAUUGAACGCUGGCGGAAUGCUUUACACAUGCAAGUCGAGCGGCAGCGCGGGGGCAACCCUGGCGGCGAGCGGCGAACGGGUGAGUAAUACAUCGGAACGUGUCCUGGAGUGGGGGAUAGCUCGGCGAAAGCCGGAUUAAUACCGCAUAAGCUCUGAGGAGGAAAGCGGGGGAUUCGCAAGGACCUCGCGCUGUUGGAGCGGCCGAUGUCGGAUUAGCUAGUUGGUGGGGUAAAGGCCCACCAAGGCGACGAUCCGUAGCUGGUCUGAGAGGAUGAUCAGCCACACUGGAACUGAGACACGGUCCAGACUCCUACGGGAGGCAGCAGUGGGGAAUUUUGGACAAUGGGGGCAACCCUGAUCCAGCCAUUCCGCGUGAGUGAAGAAGGCCUUCGGGUUGUAAAGCUCUUUCGGACGGAACGAAAUGGUUACGGCUAACACCUGUGACUGAUGACGGUACCGUAAGAAGAAGCACCGGCUAACUACGUGCCAGCAGCCGCGGUAAUACGUAGGGUGCGAGCGUUAAUCGGAAUUACUGGGCGUAAAGCGUGCGCAGGCGGCGGCUCAAGUCAGGUGUGAAAUCCCCGGGCUUAACCUGGGAAUUGCGCUUGAAACUAGGUUGCUANAGUGUGGCAGAGGGGGGUGGAU
rnacentral:rRNA from 1 species